UUGAGUCUCGUAGAGGGGGGUAGAAUUCCAGGUGUAGCGGUGAAAUGCGUAGAGAUCUGGAGGAAUACCGGUGGCGAAGGCGGCCCCCUGGACGAAGACUGACGCUCAGGUGCGAAAGCGUGGGGAGCAAACAGGAUUAGAUACCCUGGUAGUCCACGCCGUAAACGAUGUCGACUUGGAGGUUGUGCCCUUGAGGCGUGGCUUCCGGAGCUAACGCGUUAAGUCGACCGCCUGGGGAGUACGGCCGCAAGGUUAAAACUCAAAUGAAUUGACGGGGGCCCGCACAAGCGGUGGAGCAUGUGGUUUAAUUCGAUGCAACGCGAAGAACCUUACCUGGUCUUGACAUCCACGGAAGUUUUCAGAGAUGAGAAUGUGCCUUCGGGAACCGUGAGACAGGUGCUGCAUGGCUGUCGUCAGCUCGUGUUGUGAAAUGUUGGGUUAAGUCCCGCAACGAGCGCAACCCUUAUCCUUUGUUGCCAGCGGUCCGGCCGGGAACUCAAAGGAGACUGCCAGUGAUAAACUGGAGGAAGGUGGGGAUGACGUCAA
rnacentral:rRNA from 1 species